GAAAGUGGCCUUUUUGAUUUCAGACGCACAAAAAUUCCUCCUUUGUUGCUUGUAAUUGAUAGGAGUGAUGACCUCGUUACUCCUUUACUAAAUAAAUGGACAUAUCAGGUAGAAUCAUCACGAGGGAAUUUAAAGACAAUAAGGUAGAUUUACGUCUUUUUUCCAUUAAUACUCAUUAAUCUUUUUAUAUUUUGUAGGCCAUGGUUCAUAAGUUGAUAGGUAUUAAAGACAAUAAGGUAGAUUUAGGAAAUGCUGGAAAGUUUUUAAAGGAUCAACAACUCUGCUUUCACUUAUCUAUCUCCCAGUUGUAGUUAACUAUAUUUCCAUUGAUGACAUGUUAAACAAGAAGUGAUUAUUUGUUUUUUCUUUUGUUUCAAUAUAUUAGAGCAUCCCCUUCUCCAAGACUCCAUGAAUAAAAGGUUACAUUAAUUAAAUAAACGAUUAGAACAGAAAAAAAUCAGAAAUGAGACUUUUUGAAGGAUCGGAUACCAUGACUCUUAAGCAACAUUUUGGAAAGAAAUUAAUUGAACGUGAGGAUUAAAAAAUGGGGAGCUCAAGUAAAAACAUAAGCAUAAAAACACUAUAGUUUUAAAGUUGGAUUUUUUUUUUUUUUUUAAAUUGAUGAUUCAUGUUUUCUUACUCAUUUUUAUAAUUGUUGCAGUUAAAUUCAAGUCUCCUCAAUCACAGGUUAAUAAUUAUAAAUGUUUAUGUCUUUCUAAGUAUUUGAUGAAUAUCUAAUUAACAUGUGGUUCUUUCUUUGUGGUUGUUGCUUCAAGGUCUUUGAAGAUAAAUACCCUUCAAGUAAUAUUAGUUUCCUGCUGAUCACAAAUCUGUUGUUUUUGGCCUAUAUACUAAGUAAAUCAUAAAGCUCAAAGUAAAAUUAUUAUUUAACUAAAAUCACAAAACUUAAUUUCCAAAUAAAUUCAUGAAUAAAAAUUGGUUAAAUUGCAAAUUUUCAUUCCAUUCUAGAGUCAAGUGAAGGAUUAACAAAAUGGAAGGAGUCAUAUUCCAAAGUAAUGGAAUGAAUGAUUCCAUUCCAUAUCUGAUUCAAUGAAAUCAAAAGGUAAAUUUAUAGAAUCAAAAGUUAAAAAUUAACUCUCCAAAUGCAAUGCAGGUGUAUAACUAAGUUUCUGACUGGUCUCUUUUGUGUGAGAAUGUUUCAUCACCUCUACAAUCAGAUAAUUUUUCAACCUGUGUUGAUUGAGAUUCAGUGAAUAAUUAAGGAAUAUUUGCAGAAAAUAGCAAUGGAAUUUACUUUUUUUUUGUGAUACAUGCAACACCAAUCAUGGAAGGAUCUAAUGAUGAAGAGGAAGGUGAUGAUUCUGAAGGUUUGUUUUCUCACUAUUUUCUCUCUAUUCAAAUAGUUGUCAAUAUAUGGAAUUUAUUUUGAAUAUAAUGUUUAUUUGGUUGUAAUAUUUGAUGUGUUACCAUGUUGUUAACUAAGAGCCACAACAUAUUGAUGAAGUGACACUCAAAAUUUUGUCUAUAUCUAGAGUAUAUUCUUCACGUUUUUCACAGCAAUGAUGCAGGACUUAGUGGUGGUGGAUUGCUUAUACAAGAGAAGAUGCAACAUGGUCCGGUGAACAUGGUGUCG